rnacentral:rRNA from 1 species
CGGUAUGCCUUAACAUGCAAGUCGUACGAGAGUCUGUAACUCAAGUGGCGGACGGGUGAGUAACACGUAAGAAUUUACCUUUAGGAGGGGGAUAACAACUGGAAACGGUUGCUAAUACCCCAUAUGCUUUCGAGUGAAAUGGUCCUUUGGGCCGCCUAGAGAGAAGCUUGCGGCUGAUUAGCUUGUUGGUGAGGUAAUGGCUCACCAAGGCGACGAUCAGUAUCUGGUUUGAGAGGACGAUCAGACACACUGGAACUGAGACACGGUCCAGACUCCUACGGGAGGCAGCAGAGGGGAAUUUUCCGCAAUGGGCGAAAGCCUGACGGAGCAAUACCGCGUGAGGGAUGACGGCCUAUGGGUUGUAAACCUCUUUUUUCAGGGAGGAAUCAAUGACGUGUACCUGAAGAAUAAGCAUCGGCUAACUCCGUGCCAGCAGCCGCGGUAAGACGGAGGAUGCAAGUGUUAUCCGGAAUCACUGGGCGUAAAGCGUCUGUAGGUGGUUUAAUAAGUCAACUGUUAAAUCUUGAGGCUCAACCUCAAAAUCGCAGUCGAAACUAUUAGACUAGAGUAUAGUAGGGGUAAAGGGAAUUUCCAGUGGAGCGGUGAAAUGCGUA